rnacentral:rRNA from 1 species
UGCCAGCAGCCGCGGUAAUACGGAGGGUGCAAGCGUUAAUCGGAAUUACUGGGCGUAAAGCGCGCGUAGGCGGUUAGUUAAGUUAGAUGUGAAAGCCCCGGGCUCAACCUGGGAACUGCAUUUAAAACUGGCUAGCUAGAGUAUGGUAGAGGAGAGUGGAAUUUCAGGUGUAGCGGUGAAAUGCGUAGAUAUCUGAAGGAACACCAGUGGCGAAGGCGGCUCUCUGGACCAAUACUGACGCUGAGGUGCGAAAGCGUGGGUAGCAAACGGGAUUAGAUA